rnacentral:rRNA from 1 species
CAGCCGCCGCGGGAAUACAGAGGGUGCGAGCGUUAAUCGGAUUUACUGGGCGUAAAGCGUGCGUAGGCGGCUUUUUAAGUCGGAUGUGAAAUCCCUGAGCUUAACUUAGGAAUUGCAUUCGAUACUGGGAAGCUAGAGUAUGGGAGAGGAUGGUAGAAUUCCAGGUGUAGCGGUGAAAUGCGUAGAGAUCUGGAGGAAUACCGAUGGCGAAGGCAGCCAUCUGGCCUAAUACUGACGCUGAGGUACGAAAGCAUGGGGAGCAAACAGGAUUAGAUACCCGUGUAGUCCCUGUCUCUUAUAC